UACGUAGGGUGCCAGCGUUAUCCGGAAUUAUUGGGCGUAAAGGGCGCGUAGGCGGAAGUGUAAGUCAGGUGUGAAAUACCAAAGCUCAACUUUGGUGCUGCAUUUGAAACUGCACGUCUAGAGGACUGACGGAGAAAGCGGAAUUCCACGUGUAGCGGUGAAAUGCGUAGAUACGUGGAGGAACACCGGUGGCGAAAGCGGCUUUCUAGUUUUUUCCUGACGCUGAGGCGCGAGAGCAAGGGGAGCAAACAGG
rnacentral:rRNA from 1 species